CACGAAAGCGGAGCGAGUCUAGUGGAGCAUACUUUAACACUAUGUUAGCACAGCUUUAGCUUCAAGCCCACAGACCAAUAGCCCCAGAAUAUUUAGCAGCUAGGACAGAUAAAAAAAAGAGAGUCUGUGAAUCCCUCCUAAUGGAUUUUUCUGAAGGCUACUGGACAUAAGUGAUUGGGAAGCGACUGUUAGACGGGGAUUCUCCGAAGCAAACUGCGCCCUGUCCUUUACUUAGCCCUUCGCGAUCACACAAUUUUCGGCGUAAGUCCAAAUAACCACAUAUCCAAGAAUAUUUAGAUAUUAAAAAAACGAAAAGUGUGCACUCUGAACGACUUCGAAAGACCAGAUGAAACAGAUGCUAUUCUACGUUUUUGUACUAACGACCUUACACCCUAACUCCAAACACCAGGCAGCAGUCCCAGGACAGAUAAAAUGAUAAUCGGGGAAUCCUUCCUUCCUCAUGGAACUUUUUUGAAGGGGAGUUGAAUAUUCAAGGCCAUGAAAAAGACAAAAGAUAGGACAUUGACUCCUGAGUGUUGAAUUUAUGCACUUACUCUACAGCAACCCUGGUUGUUUUAUGACUCUGAGGGUCAUCUACAAACGUUGGAACAUCUACAACUAUUGAAGAUGCAAAAAGGGGUUUUUCAGAAAUACAUUUGGUUUGCAGAUAUGUAUUAUUAUAAAAAAUAAUCUAACAUUAUUAUCAUAAUCUUUAAUAUUAUUAUGUUACAUGUGAGACAUAACCAGAAAUGUCAACGUAGACAAUUUACAAUAAUCUGUUUACCAGGCUGUGAUGAAAACACUUUAAAAGGAGCUCUAAUUCAAACAUGCAAGGAUAUAUAUAUUUGAUACAAUUACCCCCUUUAAAACUGUUGCUGCAAUAUCACUUCUCAAUGUGUACAUUUCAAGCUUUCAACAACAAUAAACCAACCAUCUCAAUAAUGUUUCUCAGACUAACACACUGUUGAGGUUCCUAUUUAGUAAAGAAACAACCACUAAGACGUAACACAGAAAGUUGUAAUAUAAGCUGUAUACAUGUCAUUCUAUACGGAAAACAGGUACAUUUUGAAAGAUUAUGAUGUUGAUGUGAUUUUUUAUUAAUCUCUCAAUUUAGGAUAAUACUGUUUAUUUUAUACUUUACUUCAAUUGUAUUAUUUAUCAUGUCUCAUACACGGCUAAUACAAUACCAAGCCAUGCAAAUAGCUAUGGAAUUAACCCAGAACAGGUGUGUGUCUUUUUUUGGAUCAAUAAUUGAUCAAGAAUUCCCAAUAGGCUUGUGUCACGCCCUGACCAUAGUUUGCUUUGUAUGUUUAUAGCUUUUGUUUGGUCAGGGUGUGAUCUGAGUGGGCAUUCUAUGUUGUAUGUCUAGUUUUUCUGUUUCUGUGUUUGGCCUGAUAUGGUUCUCAAUCAGAGGCAGGUGUUAGUCAUUGUCUCUGAUUGGGAACCAUAUUUAGGUAGCCUGUUUUGUCAUUGUGGGUGAUUGUCUAUGUUAGUUGCUUGUGUCAGCACAUUUGGUAUAUAGCGUCACAGUCGUUGUUCAUUUAUUGUUUUGUUCAGUUUACUUCGUGUUUUCGUCAUCCAUUAAAACGUUGCAUUCACACCA